UCUAAUUUAAUUUAUAAAAUUAAAGUAGUAUUAGUUAUAAUCUUGAAAAUUAAAGAUUUUGGCGGUAUUUUAGACUUUUCAGAGGAAUCUGUUCUGUAAUUGAUAAUCCACGAUUUUAUUUACUUAAAUUUUUAAUUUUCAUAUCGUUGUUAAAUAAAUAUUUUAUUAGAAUUAAUAUUUUGUUAAUAUAAUUUAAGGUAAAUCAGAUCAAGGUGUAGUGUAUAUUUAAGAAGAAAUGGAUUACAUUAAAUUAAUUUUUGGAUAGAAAAAUAAAAAAUUUUUUAGAAAUUGGAUUUGAAAGUAAUUUUUAUUUUAUAAUAAUUAUAAUGAUUAAGCUCUAAAAUAUGC
rnacentral:rRNA from 1 species